rnacentral:lncRNA from 10 species
CCAGAGGCUGGGUCUAAUUAGUUGAGAAGCAGUGACACCCCCAACCACUCCCCAAACAGGCUGGCUCCCGUCUCCAGGCCCCAAGGAGCCACACCUGGACCAGACCCCAGGAAAGACAUGUGGUGGAAACCCUACGGCCCUGGAGCCCAAGGAGAGCAACGGCUGUAACAAGUGCACAGGUUUGAGUGCGCUGAGACAGGGGAACCGUGGGCAAAGAGGUCCCUCCAGAAAGAGCUGGGUGUGAGCAUGGGUUCGUGAGCUUGCCUGGAGCCCUGGCCUCAGCCCUCUCUCACUGAGGUGCCAUCUGGCUCGCAGAUGUGGCCCAUUCCCAGCCCCUCGUGUUUCUUGGAAAUGAGAAAGUCCAGGAAAGGGCACAGGGGCUUUCGCAACGACCGUGGCGAUGAUAGCUUUGACGUGUGGUCAUCCAGCCGGCCACUGCCCACACCCAAGAGAAAGCUGGAUUGAGCAUCAGGAGCCUGGGUUCAAGUCUGCCUCUCAAGCUGUUCCACAGGUGACCCUGGGCAAAUCGCACAGGCUCCUGGAACUUCAGAAAGGGGAAGAAUUAUUCCUGC